CAGUAGCCGCGGUAAUACGGAGGGUGCAAGCGUUAAUCGGAAUUACUGGGCGUAAAGCGCACGCAGGCGGUCUGACAAGUCAGAUGUGAAAUCCCCGGGCUUAACCUGGGAACUGCAUUUGAAACUGUCAGGCUGGAGUCUUGUAGAGGGGGGUAGAAUUCCAGGUGUAGCGGUGAAAUGCGUAGAGAUCUGGAGGAAUACCGGUGGCGAAGGCGGCCCCCUGGACAAAGACUGACGCUCAGGUGCGAAAGCGUGGGGAGCAAACAGGAUUAGAUACCCGCGUAGUCCCUGUCUCUUAUCA
rnacentral:rRNA from 1 species